AAAGCUUUCUUCAGUGCGUUGAAAAUGCAUUUCAUCUCACUGGAGUCUCAAUUCCACACUGGAGCCUUUUGUUCCAGUAAAAAUUUAGCAACUUCAAUUGCUUUUUGUUUUCCUCUUUUACCCAUAUGUUCUUUAAUUGCAUUCUUCAGGCUUUUCUGAUGUCUGUUACCUUCUUCUCCCCUUUCCCCUUCCCCUUCCCUUUCCCCUUCCCCUUGGGUUGCAAAUCAGUUUGGUCAAGGACUUCUUCCGGUUCCUCCUUCAUCCAGGCAAAUCUACCAUGAAUGCUUCCAUUAGUAAAUCAAGAGAUCACAAAGUCUUCUCAAUUUCCCCCUUGAAAUUAAUUUUUCAAAUUCAAUUUUGAUGAAUUCUUAAUUUCUGUAAAGAAGAAAUAGGAAAAACUAAUCGGAAAUGUUUCCACAGUUCGGAGCGAUGGCGGAGAUGUUGAGCAAGGCGUCGACGAUGGUGUUCCGGAUCGAACCGAUGCUCACCCCUACGACGAUCCGAAUGAUGCCAGCAUAGCUCCGCUUUUAGAUAGUAAAUUCGAUUCGGAGAAGUGUGAGGCUCUCAAGCGACUCCUUGCUCUCAUCGCUCAAGGCUUCGACGUCUCCAAUUACUUCCCUCAGGUUGUUUAAAACAUGGCAUCUCAAUCUUUGGAAGUAAAGAAACUUGUUUAUUUGUAUCUACUGCAUUAUGCUGAAAAGCGUCCCAACGAAGCAUUGUUGUCAAUUAAUUGUUUCCAGAAGGAUUUGGGGGACCCUAAUCCCUUGGUGAGAGCAUGGGCACUUCGCACCAUGGCUGGAAUUCGUCUUCAUGUUAUUGCACCUCUUGUUCUGGUGGCUAUGGGCAAGUGUGCUAGAGAUCCAUCUGUCUAUGUUAGAAAAUGUCCAGCUAGUGCUCUUCCAAAAGUACAUGAUUUGCGCCUAGAGGAACAUACCUCGGCAAUUGAAGAGGUUCACUUGAUAGAUUUAUUUCUUCAUGGUUAUUUUUGCUUUCGUGUUAUCCACCAUUUAUUAUGAACUUACUUUGCUACGACUCGAUUUCCAUUGUUAAGAUCAGUUGAAAACUGCUUCCUUAAAAGGUUUGGUAUUUUUGGACAGAAGGUUUUAGACUAGUUUGGCAUGCAAUAUGCAAAGAUAAUAUCUUUUCAUCUUUUGUGCCUGCAUUUUUCAGGAAUUUUUUUGUACCUAAAUAAACAUUCAUAGAUUUGUGCUUCUUUACUUGGGCGUCCAAUUUUAGAUGUCUUUAGUAGCAUGACACCUUAGACAUCUAUCUCUUGUUAUAAUACAUUUCGAUAGGGUUGGAUUUAUGUUUGAUGUUAUAGCUGGUAUGUCAGCUACAUUUUGUUUGUAAUUCUAUCUAGGCUUUAGUCAUGUAUUAGUGGGAGCAGCUAUACAUUAGUUAACUGCCAUAUUUCAUUGUAACAUAAAUGCUUCUCAAGUCAAUGAAAAAGAUCUGAAUUUUGGAAAUCAAAUUCAGUUUUCUUAUUGUUCAAA